CAGUUUAUACUCUUUACGCUUGCGAGUUAGAGCUGACUGUGAGAGAGGAUUUGCACGGUUCUUGUUCUCUUAGUAUUUGGUGAUACUGUCACUGACUUGAGCGUUGGAGUGCGAUCGGCCGCAGCGGCGCCGCUCUGUUUCUUUGCAGGUUCUUGAGGUGGAUCUCGAAGAGGAACGGAAGUUCGAAGCGGUGCACACGUCGAUCCUUUGACGAGGCAGUUUCUAGUGUUCUGGUCAACAGGCAGGAUCAUCAGGCGCCC
rnacentral:lncRNA from 1 species